CGGUAUUGAUACGGUAUCGGUACGGUAUAGGUAAGAUUAUUUGUUGUCGCGGAGUUACUCCCCUUUGUUUUUUGCGCCUUUUGUCAAUACGUAGCACAAACGUUUGUGACGAGACCACAUGUUCUCUGAAAUUUCUUGUAAUUUCAACCUGCGUUGCGUCUUUUACAGCCCAAAUAGAGUUUGACGUAGAUCUUCGGAUCUUCAGUGAAGUAAAGAACUAAAAGGGCUGUUGCGUUGUUUUAUUUCUUGAUUUACUGCUGCUACAGUCAAACUCUAUGACCUGCACCUAGUAUGAGUAACAGUAAAUUGAGGAAACAUGUUGAGAAGAUUUCCUUUCUUGGACAUCCUUCAACAUUGCAGUGGAAACCAAUAAUACUCACAGACAGUAAAGCUAAAUAUCUGAAAUCAAUUAAUGAGCA